rnacentral:tRNA from 1 species
AGGGUUAUCGCCAAGUGGUAAGGCACAGGACUUUGACUCCUGCAUCCGUGGGUUCAAAUCCCACUAGCCCCGCUA